rnacentral:lncRNA from 10 species
CUCUGGGUGUGGGCACUGCUGAGUGCCAGGAAACACUGCUAAGUGCCAGGAAAGAAAUGUACAAGCCUGGGCUGACCACUGGGCUUGGGGUCUGUGUUUUCAUUAAUGUUCACGCCUCAGAGCAUUCUUCACCCUUCUUCUUUUGGCUGCCCCUGCCCUCCUCCCAUCCUACCCAGGGUUUACCAAUAAGUACAAGUUCUCUAAAGGGCAAGAACCUUCAAGGACUUGCUUCUGGAUUCCUGUGCCUGCUGCGUGGUGAGGCUCAGUGAAUGUCUGCUAAAUGAGUGAUUGAUUGAAUAAAUUAAUGUUGGGAUCCAGAAAUCAUCUGGCUUAGCCUCCUCCUUUUAGAAAGGGUAUCAACUAAUUGGAAAUGUAUUAUGUUUUCUAGGAUGCCUGCUUUCAUCUUUACCCUCCUUCCCCUCUCCCAUUUGAGAUCCCACUCCCAGGGUCUCCAUUUGGGAGUGCCUGAACCUUUCUUACAUCUAGCUGAAAUCCCACACACUGCAAUUUGAGACUGAUCUUUUUUGCUCUGACUUCAGUGUAAGUCGAUGAUGGAAUUGGGGAAUAAUAUUGUUAUGGGCUGAACUCUGUCCCCUAUAAAUUUUCUACUGGGAAAUUUGAGGUACUCCCAGUAUCUCAGAAUGUGAUGGUAUUUGGAGACAGGGCCUUUAGUUAAAGUGGGGCCAUUAGAAGGUGGCCUAAUCCAGUCUGACUGAUGUCCUUGUAAGAGGAAAUUUGGACUAAAAGAUACCACAGAAUCACACACAGAGGAAAGACCAAGUGAGGAGACAGCAAUCGGGUCAACAUUUGCAAGCCACGAGUGGAGGUCUCGGAAGAAACCAAACCUGCUGACACCUCAACGUUGGACUUCCAGCCUCCAGAACUGUGAGCAAAUAAGUAUCUGUUGCUUAAGCAUUCCCCCUCCCCCAAGACUGUAGUAUGUUGUUAGGGCAGUCCUAGCAAACUAAGACAAAUAUGAC